rnacentral:rRNA from 1 species
UACGUAGGGGGCGAGCGUUAUCCAGAUUUACUGGGCGUAAAGCGCGUGUAGGCGGCUGGUUAGGUGUGAUGUGAAAUCUUCGGGCUCAACCCGAAAACUGCAUUGCAAACCGGCCUGGCUAGAGUGCAGGAGAGGGAAGCGGAAUUCCAGGUGUAGCGGUGAAAUGCGUAGAUAUCUGGAGGAACACCGGUGGCGAAGGCGGAUCUCUGGGCCUUACCUGACGCUCAGGUGCGAAAGCUAGGGGAGCGAACAGG